GAACCCACUUCACUACAUAUGUCAUGCAUUCAAGGCUUAGAGCUUUCUUUCUCCGAGCAAAAACACCAUUAAAACAGAAGAAAGACGAUGGCAACUUUCGAUAAGGUGUUAUGGUUUUGGAUUGGAUGUGUUUUCUUGGUUAAUUGCAAGAUAACACUUCAAACCCUAAUUCUAGUUUUUGUUUAUGUCGUCUUGUUGGAACCAAGUUUUCUCCUUCUUCGAUAUUUUUGUGAGUUUCUGGUUUCAGAUCUGAGUGAAAGAAAUGAAUCAUCUGAUGGGGUGGUUUUAAAUGAUAAGAAGAAAGUAAGAGAGAGAGAGAGAGACUGACAGGAGAGAGUGAGCACACGCAGGCAAAUUUGUAUGAGAAAGUAUACACUUUUUUACUUGUGUGUGCUCACUUCUCCUCUGUCAGCUCCAGCUAAAUUUUUUUUUCCUUUUAUCUUCCAGUCUCUUCCCUCUCUCUCUAUCUCUCUCUCUCUCUGUAUUGACGCAGCACAAGUACUUGUAUUUGAUUCUCCAGAUGUCUCUCUAGCAAUAUACCACUUGCUGUCCCCCCCCACCUCCCCCCCCUUCUUUCUCACUAUUACAUGACACUUGAUCGCUUGACAAAUCAUCACCAUAUGCAUAUAUCCUUUUUGAUACUUAUCUUUAAAAUUUUAUGUUACAUAUAUGAGUCCGACCAGGAGAUUAUUUCAUGUAAACUUUUUGAAGCUAUAUAGUUAAUUAAUAUAUGUAUGUGUGUCAAAGAGCUAGCUUC
rnacentral:miRNA from 1 species